AAAGAAAGAAAAAAAAAAAAAGCAUAUUUGACGUUAGGGGAAAAAAACCCUUUAACGCUGUAAAAGUCUCUCUGGUUAUUUUCACUUUUUGUUUUGGACAAAAAAGAAGGAGAUGAGAGGAACAUUUUUAAAACGCCAUGUAGAUCGCCUCGUGGUUAUUUUUAUUGUUUUAAAGAUAAUAACCAGAACUGCAGGAGGAUCUCUGUGACUCCCGGUCAGCCUGAGGGACAUAGUGAGACUUUGUUUUAAAGAGGUUAGAACCACGUUGGUUCUUGUAUUUGGAAGGUUUGUUUGAGGGCCUGAAGACUGCUAAGCAGCUAAAAGCACUUGCUGUUCUUCCUGAGGGCUGGACUUCUGUUCCCAACAUCCACAAGGCGGCUCACAGCCACCUGAAAUUUCAGUUCCCCCCUCCUGGCCUCCACCGGCCCUGCACAUGCAUGCGCGCAGGCAUGAGGCAAAACACCCGCACAUACAUACAUACUGGGUUAGCAGCAAACUUAAGCAACUUUUCUCGAAGGAAGAGAGACCUGCCCUGGUCAUUUGAGGAAUAGGAUGGAUGCGGUAUUGUGGACUCUGCUCAGGCUGAGCGGCAGGCAGUUAUUAAAUAAGGUGUGGCACCAGGCCUGUGACCCAGAACUUGAGAAGCUGGAGCAGAAGACAGCUGUGACCUCAAAGACCACCGAGGUUACAUAAUGAACUCAGCCUGGACAAGAGAUCACAGUCCAUCACUCAGGGGAAGUUAAAGCAGCAACUUAAGCCACUGACAUGUCACAUCUACAGUCUGGAACAGAGAGAGACGAAUGCCCUCAUGCCACCCACCAGCUCUUCGAGCUUUCUUUUAUCUUGCUGUAUUCAGAACCCCAUGCCUGCAGAAUGGUGCUGCCAAUUACCAGCCGGGGCUUUGGACAUUAGUGAUCAAGACGAUCCCUCUUGUAGGCGUGCUCACAGGCCAGCCUGAUGAAAUAAUUUCUCCACUGAAAAGCUCUCUUCUCAGGUAGUUACAGAUGAUGCCAAGUUGGCGUUUAAAGCCAACCAUCACACUAGGCAAGUAUUCUACCAACUGUAUGACACCCUGAGGCCCUGACUGAAUUUUGCAGGAGCAAAAUCAGAUGAACAUAUCUCCCUUGUGACAGGCCAACUGUUGGAACCAACAGUCCCCCAUAUUGGCAAGGACAUGGCUAUCCCAGGUCAGGAAACCUUGCUUUGAAAGGGGAAAACUAAACUCAAAGGCUUCACUUCUAAUAAUUUAGAAAUAAAGGGACCAGACUCUCAUUAAGUCCCUGAAUAGCAUCCAUGACAGGCUAUAGAAAAGACAUGUAGGCCUCUAGCACAAGAAAACUACAGAUCCUCUGGCCUCCCAGAGCCUAAGGCCAAAACCGAACACAAAGAAACUCCAUACUGCCCAUCCACCUCCCAGCCUCCUAG